UCCUGCUGAACUGUAUGCUGUCUUUCUGUGAAAAAACAGGGAUUCGCUCACUACUGGAUACUGAUUCAAAGCAGUUGCUGCAACAGCUGCCACUCCCAUCAUCUCCUGGGACCCCAGCCCUUCAUCCUAAUCCUGAGAGAUGUUCUGACCAGACUGGGCCAAAGAGAGAGGGACUCAGAUGACACCAUCACCUCCACUGCCUGAAAUCCGAACACCAGCACGUUUCCAGUCGUAUGCUCCUGUUUACAUCAAGUACUAGGCAAUGCUGACAAGCAAAACAACUUUCAAGGGAACAAAUGAAAUGCCUCAACACUGAUUCACUUCUUCACACAGUGAAGC